rnacentral:lncRNA from 1 species
AUGAAAUUCACCAUCACCCCAAAACCUCCCUGGGGGCCCUUCCAAUCCCAUCAUCCUAUUUCCCAUGCUGACAGCCUCUGGAGAGCCAGCCCUAGGUGUGAAGUCAGACUCCCUGCUUUACAUGCUGUCAUUCUUCCCCCUUGUUCUCGUAGCAGAAGCAGCGUGCCCUCUGCCCACUUCAUCAUCCAUGAAGCCCACUGCCUGCGCUUCCUGGUCUUUUGCUCCAAGUGUGAGGAGCCUGUCCCAGGGGUGAAGAUGGAGGAGCAUUGUGAGCAGAGGCACACGCAGGUCACAUGUGUGAUGUGUCAGCAGAGUGUGCAGAAGUCCUUGCUGGAGUUGCAUGAGACCAAGGAAUGCCAAGAGCGCCCUGUCAAGUGCAAGUUCUGUGAGCUGACCGUGUACUUCAGCAAGCUAGAGACCCACGAGUCCCACUGUGGCAGCCGAACUGAGCGCUGCCCACACUGUGACCAGCUUCUCUUGCUCUGGCAGCUGGCCCAGCACAAAGAUGUUUGUCAGCGUGAACAGGCUCUGCUCAGGGAAGGAAAAGGAUCUGCAGUUCCUGAAAGGAAAAUCUACUGUAAUUAUUGCAAUGAAAUGAUUACAGGAAGUAAGCACAACCACUAUAUGGAUGACUGUUCUGCAGCCUCAGCCCUCCUGAAAAACCUGCUUAGAUCCUUUCCAAGUCGGACUGGUGGAAAUCAAACUCCCACAGCAGAGAAAGAUGUCCGUCCAAAGACAAAAAAUACAAACAGAUUUCCUCUUCCUUCUGAAAAUUCAACAAAACAAGCACCAAGAGAGAAAAGCAGGACCAUGGAUCUGCCUUCAGUAUCUGAGCUCAAGUCAAGGACUGCCUCUCCUACAGGAAACAAGACAGCCUAUGACAUUCUGAGGAAGUGUUCACAGUGCGGCAUCCUGCUUCCCCUGCCCACCCUAAUGCAACAUCAGGUACCUAGGCUCUGUUCUCUCCCUAGCUGGCUGUAAACCAGCUGGGCCGUAUCUUAAAUAUCAAGUAUCUGCAGGAUAUUUGCCCAUGUGGCAGCUGGGGAGACCUUCCCUGUCUCCCCGCUCCCGUACAUCCAAGUACACCCUCUCAUGGCACUUGACACCUGCUUUUUUUGUGUCACCUCUCACAACUAUGUCACCUUUGAAGGUAGAGCCAGAUCUCUCAUUUCUGUGUCUCCAGCUCCUAGCCCAAGGGCUGACACACAGCAAGUGCUCCGAAACUGUGGAGUAAAUGAAUGAAGCUGAGAGUGGCCAGUCUAUCUUCCCCAAGGUAUGGAUAAAGCAGCAGAGGCCCAGAAAGCAGAAAUGUCUUGUCAUGUGGUGGCUAGCCUCUAGCACAUCAAGGUUACAGCCAUAUUCCUCAAUAUCCGAUUUUUCUCUGUCUCAGAUUAUUUUCUUGUAAUGAUAAGAACUGGCCUUAGAGGUAGUUAACCAUCAUGUGCCAGUUACAUUACAGAGCACUUGAUAAAUGUUUAGUCUUCAUUAUAAGCAAUAGAUAAUGUUUUAACAUUAAACUGGGCAGAAAGGUACACUUCCUUCCCCGGGAUUGUACAAUGACAGAGUGGAAGAAUCCAGUCCAGACUCCACAUGUAUAGCUCCAAAGCUUUUGUUCUUAAGCUCUGGCCUAAAUGCCUUACUUGUUUGGUAUUUUUUAAACACUAAAGUAUUAGGUUUUGUUGUACAUAAUAAAGAAGAUGUAUUGUAGCUUGAAGAAGAAAAGUAAAGCUCAUUAUUCCCCACACCUAUCCCAAUGCCAUGCCCUGGAAUAACAAUUUCAGCAGCCUUGUGGGUGUCCUUCCAAGGCUUUCUUUUCCCCUCACAUAAACUCUAACAAAUUGCUUGCUUUUUUUCCUCUACAUAUUACCUGAAUGUGCUCAUUACUCUGCCAUUUUCCUUCUUAAUUUAAUAUAUGGUAGGUCCAAGUAUUAGGUAGGCCUAAGUAUUUUUUGAACUUCUUUAUGCAUAUAUACAUAUAUAUAUACACACAUAGGCAUGUAAUUUUACAAAAAUUGACUAAUUUUGUCUUGCUAGGGCCAUUUUCUCUUGCCUCCCACCUUUUGCAAUUUCUUGACCACCUUUAUAUAAUAAGGUUGUCAGAUUUAGCAAAUGAAAAUAGUGGUUACCCAGACAAGUUUGAAUUUCAGAGAAACAAGAGGAUUUAUUAGUAUUAGUGUUCAUAUUAGUAUUAGGCAGUACUGUGGAAUUAAACCAGGGGCCAGGGUGUUGGGGGAGAUCCUCUACCACUGAGCUACAUCCUCAGCCCUUUUUCUUUUUUAUUUUGAGACACAAGUUUUCCAGGCUGGCCUUGAACUUGUGAUCCUUCUGCCUCAGCUUCCUAAAGAGCUGGAAUUACAGGAAUUACAGGCAUGUACCAUCAUGCCUGACAAUUUUUUAAAAGUAUAACUCUGUUCCAUGCAAUGAUUCUUUCUCUAAAAUUGAAAUUUAAAUGAGCACCCUGUAAUAUAUUUGGCAACCCUACUAUCAAACAUACACAAAUGUACACGUUUGGAGUACUGUUGUGCACAUUUCUUUACAUCAUAAUGUUAUCAUUUAGCUAUACCCAAGUGAGCAGUGUGGCUCGUCAUUGUUAAUGGUUACGCAGGAGUUCCUGUUCUAAGUGUACAGUACUCUCCUGUUCUCCUACCCUGAUGAAGAUGGGCUGCUGUUAAACACCAUUCGAAGCCUCCUGCCCCUCUCUUAGAUUGGUGGGCUCUAUGCUUCUUCCCUGCUGUCCACCCCAGUCUCCAGGCACCUGUAGCUCAGGGCUCUUGUUUGGGAACAGGGAACAGAAAUAUCCAGAGUUAUUUCAGAAACUAGCACUUCCUCCUCGAAAUAUACUGAACUUUUUAUAUUCCUUUCUUUAGGUAAAAUGCAGAUGGUUAGCUUCCUCAAAAGGAGAGCAAGUGAGAAAAUCCAGCUAGAUUUGGAAAGAAGAAGUACUGUGAAUUUGGAAGAUCUCCUGUUUGCACCAGCUUCCAUGGUGGUCUCUGCUUAUGAAAGGAGAUGGGUUUUAUUCCUUCGUAUUUAGAAGAAAAAGUUUGCGCUUUAAGUAUGUUCCCUCUUUUGAACAAAGACAUUGGUUUGCUCAAGGGCUCCAGGUAACCAGGAGAAAAAAAAGAUUCCAGUUCUUCUGGCUUGGCAUUCUGGUUAAACUUCCAGCUGGGGUGCCUAAGAGACCCCAGCUUUGUCCCUGAAGAAUAAAAACACUUUCCUUGAAAGCUUCUUGUUUACCUUCUUGGAUUCCUCACCGGUUUUCCAGGGGAAGGGCUGGCAGAAGGUGGACAGCAGGAUGCAGCUUCGCAGAGGAAGGCAGCGAGGUCCAGGGGGAAAAGGAGAAGGAGAAACACCAGGGAGAGAGAUGAGGACAUCCGUCGUGGAAGGCUUUGGGAGGGAAGGUGGCUGGGGCAGCCUGAAGAUGCUCUCUGCCUGUAGGUAAACCGCUUUUACCUUUCUGACCAGGCCCUGGGGAGACCGCUUGGGACCCCAGCUCCUGCCAAGGCAGGGAAGGGCCAAGGAAGUGGGUAGGCUGUGUGCGCCCCACCCUCCCAAAAUUGGAAAGGGAAAGCAUUCCUCAAGCUUUGUUACCUUCCUGUCAGGUUUGCUUGGGGGACUUUGCCUAAGGAGAGAAAAGCAGAAUACGGGGCGUGGCUUCCUAAAGAGAGCCGCACACACUGGGCCUCUCAAGGCUCAGCUGGACCCAGGGGCUGGGUCAGGACUCGCCAGGUGGUGGACUGAGCUGAACUUCUUCCUUGCGUGCAGGGGCCACUCGGCGCCUUCCAGGACACUGCGCAAGGCCCGUGGCGCCCUCUGCCCUCGCGAUCCACUGAUCUGGC